UCUGACGUCAGAAAAUUUUAUACGUCACAUAAAUAAAGGCAACAGUAGUAUACCGCUGUUCAAAACUCGUAAAUCCAUGGACAAAAAAACAAAAUCGGGGUAACAAACUAAAACUUAGGAAAACGCAUUAAAUAUAAGAGGAGAACAACGACACAACAUUAAAAUGUAACACACACAGAAACGGACUAAGCAUUAGACAAAAUCCAAUGAGAAUAACAAAUAUAACAUCAAAACCAAAUACAUGAAUUUGGGAUAGAAAAGUACCGUGACAUGUCUUAUAGUAGUGUGAAUUCACACUGAAAUAUAAGAGAAAACAAACGACACAACGGAACACACAACGUUAAAAUGUAACACACACAGAUCGAACUAUAAUAUAUAACAAUGGCCAUAUUCCUGACUUGGUACAGGACAUUUUUAAAGAAAAAAAAAUGGUGUGUUGAACCUGGUUUUGUGGCAUGCCAAACCUCGCACUUUAAUGGCAGUGUUACAUAUAACAUUAAAAUGACAACAUAAUAUUACAGGACUAUAAUACAAACAAAUAGGAGAACCUAUUAGACAAAGAAACACAUGAAUAAUAGCUAACAAAAGCAUCAGGUUUAAAAUUCAAUACUGCCAGAAACGCGC
rnacentral:lncRNA from 1 species